AUUGCCUCAGUAACGGCGAGUGAAGCGGCAACAGCUCAAAUUUGAAAUCUGGCUCUUUCAGGGUCCGAAUUGUAAUUUGCAGAGGAUGCUUUGGGUGCGGGCGCCUUCCGAGUUCCCUGGAACGGGACGCCAUAGAGGGUGAGAGCCCCGUCUGGUAGGAUGCCCAGCCCGUGUAAAGCUCCCUCGACGAGUCGAGUAGUUUGGGAAUGCUGCUCUAAGGGGAGGUAUACUCCUUCCAAAGCUAAAUACCGGCUGGAGACCGAUAGCGCACAAGUAGAGUGAUCGAAAGAUGAAAAGCACUUUGAAAAGAGAGUCAAAUAGCACGUGAAAUUGUUGAAAGGGAAGCGCUCGCUACCAGACUUGGGUACGCGGUUCCGUAGGUGCUCCGCACCUGCGUACUCCUCGUGCCCAGGCCAGCAUCAGUUCUUCGUCGGGUUAAAAGGCUUCGGGAAUGUGGCUCGCCUCGGUGAGUGUUAUAGCCCGUUGUGUCAUGCCCGGUGGGGGACUGAGGUACGCGCUCCGCAAGGAUGCUGGCGUAAUGGUAGCUAGUGACCCGUCUUGAAACACGGACCAAGGAGUCAACCUUAUGUGCAAGUGCCCGGGCGUAAAACCCCAGCGCGGAAUGAAAGUGAACGUAGGUGAGAGCUUCGGCGCAUCACCGACCGAUCCUGAUGUCCUCGGACGGAUUUGAGUGUGAGCAUAUAGGGUUGGACCCGAAAGAAGAUGAACUAUGCGUGUGUAGGGUGAAGCCAGAGGAAACUCUGGUGGAGGCUCGCAGCGGUUCUGACGUGCAAAUCGAUCGUCAAACAUGCGCAUGGGGGCGAAAGACUAAUCGAAUCUUCUGGUAGCUGGUUUCCGCCGAAGUUUCCCUCAGGAUAGCAGUGUUGAUCCCAGUUUUAUGAGGUAAAGCGAAUGAUUAGGGACUCGGGGGCGCUUAUUAGCCUUCAUCCAUUCUCAAACUUUAAAUAUGUAAGAAGUCCUUGUUACUUUAUUGAACGUGGACGCUGGAAUGAAACAACACUAGUGGGCCAUUUUUGGUAAGCAGAACUGGCGAUGCGGGAUGAACCGAACGCGAGGUUAAGGUGCCGGAGUGGACGCUCAUCAGACACCACAAAAGGUGUUAGUACAUCUUGACAGCAGGACGGUGGCCAUGGAAGUCGGAAUCCGCUAAGGACUGUGUAACAACUCACCUGCCGAAUGUACUAGCCCUGAAAAUGGAUGGCGCUCAAGCGUCCCACCCAUACCUCGCCCUCGACGCGGGCUCGGCGCGUCGAGGAGUAGGCGGACGUGGAGGUCAGUGACAAAGCGUAGGGCGUGAGCCCGCGUGGAACGGCCUCUAGUGCAGAUCUUGGUGGUAGUAGCAAAUACUUCAAUGAGAACUUGAAGGACCGAAGUGGGGAAAGGUUCCAUGUGAACAGCGGUUGGACGUGGGUCAGUCGAUCCUAAGCUAUAGGGAAGUUCCGUUUCAAAGGGGCGCUUUUGCCCCGUAUAGCGAAAGGGAAGCUGGUUAAUAUUCCAGCACCUGGAUGUGGGUUUUGCGCGGCAACGCAACUGAACGCGGAGACGACGGCGGGGGCCCCGGGAAGAGUUCUCUUUUCUUCUUAACGGUCUAUCACCCUGGAAUCGGUUUGUCCGGAGAUAGGGUUCAACGGCCGGAAGAGCCCAGCGCUUCUGCUGGGUCCGGUGCGCUCUCGACGUCCCUUGAAAAUCCGCGGGAGGGAAUAAUUCUCACGCCAGGUCGUACUCAUAACCGCAGCAGGUCUCCAAGGUGAACAGCCUCUGGUUGAUAGAACAAUGUGGAUAAGGGAAGUCGGCAAAACAGAUCCGUAACUUCGGGAUAAGGAUUGGCUCUAAGGGUCGGGUACGUCGGGCCUCGAGUGGACGGUUCGGCGGCGGGAGGUCACUAGCUGGGCAACCAGCCGGGGGCUUCCUGCUGCUGGGCUCUGACGCCCUUGGCAGGCCUUUCGGCCGUCCGGCGUACGUUUAACGACCAACUUAGAACUGGCGCGGACAGGGGGAAUCUGACUGUCUAAUUAAAACAUAGCAU
rnacentral:rRNA from 1 species